rnacentral:ncRNA from 1 species
GUGCAUUUAUUGUUAAAGUUGUGUAAGCGAAUGUAAACGGCGGGAGUAACUAUGACUCUCUUAAGGUAGCCAAAUGCCUCGUCAUUUAAUUGGUGACGCGCAUGAAUGGAGCAACGAGAUUCCUACUGUCCCUACUUACAAUUUUGUGAAACCACUAUACAAGGGAACGGGCUUGUUAUUUAUCAGCGGGGAAAGAAGACCCUGUUGAGCUUGACUUUAGUAUGUUCUAAUAAUUAUUCGAUAUAUUGUAGAGAGGUGGGAGAUUAUUUGUGAAACCACUAGUAUGUAUGUUGGGGUCCGCCAAAAGGAAAAAAAAGGAGAAGUUGAAAGCUGCGAGAUUGGAGUCGAUUUAUCGACUUCUGGAGUACAAGAAAGUGCUAAAGCAUUAGUAUUGGAAGGAAUUAAACCAGUUAGUGAAGUUUGUAGCUACCGCAGGGUUACAAUUCACGAUGAUCAAGAAUUGAAUGAUUCUUGGUCUAAAAAUGUCAGCUUGUUCGAGAGAA